rnacentral:rRNA from 1 species
CCUACGGGAGGCAGCAGUCGAGAAUCAUUCACAAUGGGGGAAACCCUGAUGGUGCGACGCCGCGUGGGUGAAGAAGCGCCUCGGCGCGUAAAGCCCUGUCAGCAGGGAAGAAAAUGACGGUACCUGAAGAAGAAGCCUCGGCUAACUACGUGCCAGCAGCCGCGGUAAUACGUAGGGGGCAAGCGUUAUCCGGAUUUACUGGGUGUAAAGGGGUCGCAGACGGCGAUGCAAGCUAGGAGUGAAAGCCCGGGGCCAAACCCCGAGACUGCUCUUGGAACUGCGUGGCUAGAGUGCAGGAGGGGCAGGCGGAAUUCCUGGUGUAGCGGUGAAAUGCGUAGAUAUCAGAAGGAACACCGGUGGCGAAGGCGGCCUGCUGGACUGCAACUGACGUUGAGGCCCGAAAGCGUAGGGAGCAAACAGGAUUAGAUACCCCAGUAGUC